rnacentral:tRNA from 1 species
GGAAAUAUAGUUUACCUAAAACACUAGACUGUGACUCUAGAAACAGAAGCCCCAACUUCUUAUUUACC